rnacentral:tRNA from 1 species
AAAGUAGCUCAGCUGGUAGAGCAGCUGAUUUGUAAUCAGCCGGUCGUAGGUUCGAGUCCUAUCUUUG